GUCUAAGGCCAUACCACCCUGAACACGCCCGAUCUCUGAUCUCGGAAGCUAAGCAGGGUCGGGCCUGGUUAGUACUUGGAUGGGAGAUUACUAAGCUUUGUGAU
rnacentral:rRNA from 1 species